UACGGGAGGCAGCAGGGGGGAAUAUUGGACAAUGGGCGAAAGCCUGAUCCAGCCAUGCCGCAUGAGUGAAGAAGGCCUUCGGGUUGUAAAGCUCUUUUAGUGAGAAAGAUAAUGACGGUACUCACAGAAGAAGUCCUGGCUAACUCCGUGCCAGCAGCCGCGGUAAUACGGAGAGGGCUAGCGUUAUUCGGAAUUAUUGGGCGUAAAGAGCGCGUAGGCUGAUUAGUAAGUUAAAAGUGAAAUCCCAAAGCUUAACUUUGGAAUUGCUUUUUAAAACUGCUAGUCUAGAGAUUUGAAAGAGGAUAGAGGAAUUCCUAGUGUAGAGGUGAAAUUCGUAAAUAUUAGGAGGAACACCAGUGGCGAAGGCGUCUAUCUGGUUCAAAUCUGACGCUGAGGCGCGAAGGGCGUGGGGAGCAAACGAGGGAUUAGGAU
rnacentral:rRNA from 1 species